UACGUAGGUGGCAAGCGUUGUCCGGAAUUACUGGGUGUAAAGGGCGUGUAGGCGGGAUGACAAGUCAGAUGUGAAAGCCCAUGGCUUAACUGUGGAAUUGCAUCUGAAACUGUUUUUCUUGAGUGCUGGAGAGGAAAGUGGAAUUCCUAGUGUAGCGGUGAAAUGCGUAGAGAUUAGGAGGAACACCAGUGGCGAAGGCGGCUUUCUGGACUGACCCUGACGCUGAGGUGCGAAAGCGUGGGUAGCAAACAGGAUUAGAUACCCU
rnacentral:rRNA from 1 species